rnacentral:rRNA from 1 species
UACGGAGGGGACUAGCGUUGUUCGGAAUUAUUGGGCGUAAAGAGCUCGUAGGCGGUUUGUCGCGUCUGCUGUGAAAACCUAAGGCUCAACCUUGGGCUUGCAGUGGGUACGGGCAGACUAGAGUGCGGUAGGGGUGACUGGAAUUCCUGGUGUAGCGGUGGAAUGCGCAGAUAUCAGGAGGAACACCGAUGGCGAAGGCAGGUCACUGGGCCGCAACUGACGCUGAGGAGCGAAAGCAUGGGGAGCGAACAGG